UACGUAGGGGGCUAGCGUUGUCCGGAAUCAUUGGGCGUAAAGAGCGUGUAGGCGGCCCGGUAAGUCCGUUGUGAAAGUCAAAGGCUCAACCUUUGAACGCCGAUGGAUACUGCCGGGCUAGAGUCCGGAAGAGGCGAGUGGAAUUCCUGGUGUAGCGGUGGAAUGCGCAGAUAUCAGGAGGAACACCAAUAGCGAAGGCAGCUCGCUGGGACGGUACUGACGCUGGAGACGCGAAAGCGUGGGGAGCAAACAGG
rnacentral:rRNA from 1 species